rnacentral:rRNA from 1 species
UAAGGAAUAUUGGGCAAUGGACGCAAGUCUGACCCAGCCAUGCCGCGUGCAGGAUGACGGCCCUAUGGGUUGUAAACUGCUUUUGUACGGGAAAAAAUCCUCGGUCGUGCAUCGAGGUUGAUGGUACCGUAAGAAUAAGGAUCGGCUAACUCCGUGCCAGCAGCCGCGGUAAUACGGAGGAUCCAAGCGUUAUCCGGAUUCAUUGGGUUUAAAGGGUGCGCAGGCGGAAUAAUAAGUCAGAGGUGAAAUCCCACGGCUCAACUGUGGAACUGCCUUUGAUACUGUCAUUCUAGAGUAUAGUUGGAGUGGGCGGAAUGUAGCAUGUAGCGGUGAAAUGCUUAGAUAUGCUACAGAACACCGAUCGUGAAGACAGCUCACUAAGCUAUAACUGACGCUCAUGCACGAAAGCGUGGGGAUCAAACAGG